rnacentral:rRNA from 1 species
UACGUAGGUGGCAAGCGUUAUCCGGAAUUAUUGGGCGUAAAGAGCGCGCAGGUGGUUAAUUAAGUCUGAUGUGAAAGCCCACGGCUUAACCGUGGAGGGUCAUUGGAAACUGGUUGACUUGAGUGCAGAAGAGGGAAGUGGAAUUCCAUGUGUAGCGGUGAAAUGCGUAGAGAUAUGGAGGAACACCAGUGGCGAAGGCGGCUUCUUGGUCUGCAACUGACACUGAGGCGCGAAAGCGUGGGGAGCAAACAGG